CUGUAAACACUCGUCUGUAGCUGCGGUGUUAUCCCCGUUCUCUGGCCUUGAUUGGGCAGUUUAGUGGGAGGUAAGUAAUCGACAAAUACUAUAUGCGAAGGGCUGUGCAAUUAUUUUUUUUCGACGGGUUUGAUUGGUGAGGGCGGAUUAUUGCAGCGGUAAACCUGGCGCGGCGUUUACCCGGGUAGGAGGGCGGCUUGAGGGGGGAUGUCUGUUGCUGUAAACAGAGUGGGGAUCUCAUUUUGAGAGAAGAAAUAGAAGUGAGAGCAGGUCAGGACGAGAUAAAAGUACAAAAAGGAAAGAAUGAAAAGUUGAUGGUUUGGAAAAGAGAUGGUAGGUAAACAUAGUUGGUCAGAGCGUUCGACUUUAUGGAAGACUGACGUCGUGUUAAAGAAUCUGGAUCCCCAUACUGCCAUGGUACAGCUUUGGAAUCGGGAUCACCCUACAAUAUUCACGAGAAGAUGGCUAAUCCAAGUCUUUCUUUUGUCCACUACAAACAACAUGUAAACUUGAAAAAUGAAAAAAUGGACACCCAGCUGUUCCCUUCAGCCUCACUGAGUGGCAUUAACAAUUCAACAUCCUCCAGAGACACAGCUCUCCUCUGCAACAGCCAGUCUGUGUCUGCUGAUGAUGUAAACCCAUCAGUUUCCUUACAAGACUGCAGUGGACACAGGGCCCAGGUUAACCUCUCCUACUCUGGGAACGGCCCAGAUUUGUUUGGACUGGUCUCCAGUAUCCUGGAAGAUCCAAAUGGUUCAGAACACCUGACAGAUGGAUGUUCUUGCCCUGGCAGCUGCCAUUAAAGAGCAGGCUAUUUUCACUCGCAAAGCCCGCACUGCUUUGUGGUGCGCCCUCCAGAUGACCUUGCCAGAAAACAGCGCUGGUGCCACAGCCCAGCCGGCAGAGCUUGAGAAGGCACUACAGGAGCUGUGCAGUCCUGGGCAGGGAGAGACCAAGGAUGCUCUAAAAGCCACAGAGUUUCCAGGCCCAGAGAGGAAGGGGGCUGAACCAAUAGUGCAUCAACAAGUGGAGCAAAAAGAGGAGAGGCCUUGGGCCAGCAAGAACAAGGGAGAGGAAGAGAGGGGAGAGUAAAGACAUUGAGGGUUGAAAAGUUGAGAGUGGCACACUAUGGAAAAUCUCUUGCCAUUGGAGCAAAAUCAGUUAAGCUUACUGGCUAACCCUCCACACCAUACCCACCCAAUGAUAAAAUAAACAUUUCAGAUUAACUACAUUUAUUAUUAUUAUUAUUAUUAUUAUUAAUUUCUUAGCAGACGCCCUUAUCCAGGGCGACUUACAAUCGUAAGCAAAAGCAUUUAAUAUUGGCUCAUCUACAUUAGUUGUCUACAAAAUUCUUCUUAAAGGUGUUACUUGUGUAAAUGGUUUGUAUGGAAGGUGGAAGCAUGAAAUGUGCUGCAGGAUGUCCCUCUUCAAAAGGAGAUUGCACAUCUCACUAACAUACUUUGUGCCUGGCUUGUUUUAAAUUUUUUUUUUUUUUUUUUUUUUUUUGAGGCAACAAUAUAGAAGAAAACUAUACCAAACUGAAUUUUCAGUUUUGGUUCUGUGUUAUACAACAGUAAUAUAUAAUGAGAGACAGCCAGUUGUUUGUUGCUGUCUAGCAGGUCACUACUGUAAUGCAUCCCUUUUCUAACUUGACCUCAAUUGCAUUGUUUAAAGGGUGGAACAAAACAUCUUAAACAAAUAACCACAUUUCAAAUUCUUCCAAAGACACUAGUAUGCAAUAAACCAGGAUUUCAUCUUUUGUAAAGUGUCAAAAAAAAAAAAAAAAAAGUUGCAGUAUCUGAAUGUAACUGGGUCAUUUUUCAACACAUUGAUUUUAUUAUUAUUAUUAUUAUUAUUAUUAUUAUUAUUAUUAUUAUUAUUAUUAUUAUUAUUAUUAUUAUUAUUAUUAUUAUUAUUAUUUAACUGCUGAACAGCAACGGAACAUCUACUGUUAGUUUCCAUAAUGCCCACUUUAGUUUAGACUCUAAACAUGUAAUGCAGUAUUUCUUUAUAGAAACUAGCUAUAAAAGAAAUUAAACGGUAUAGUUAAUGAUGUACAUGUGGUAUUAGUUAAUGAUAAAAAUUGAUACUCAGGAUUAGUACUUAGACCUACUAACACCUUGUGGUGGGUAAAAAAAUGAUAUUUGACUUAGUACGCACUUAAAUUAUUAUUUUAUAACUUAUAUUAUUUUAAGGGAGUACAGUUUUCAGAAGCAUUCCAUAUUUAUUUUAAUGACUAAAUUGUGUGUUAAAAAAAAAAAAAAAAAAAAACCUUUCAGGAAAAUGUACUAAGUGUUUUUUGCCAAACCUUUCUAAAUAAUCAGAUUUAACUAUUUACUCAGGAAAUAUAUUUAAUAUUUAGUUUUUUGUUUUAGUUUUAGUUUUUGCGUGCAAGGUAUUUUCAGACAGCUAACUCUAUACUAAGUUACCAAAGCUACUAUUGUUUAAUGUAGUAGCAUUUAUGAUCAAGUUUAGAUAGUCUUUGUACUUUGGCUUAGACAAUCACUAGAUUUGUAUGUCUUAAAACAUGCAAUGUGAAUGUAGGAAAAAAAAUGAAGAUCAAGAAUGGAGAAAAAUUAUGAACAGGUCAAAGUUUCUUAGCACACUACUCAAUACUGUAUUGGAAAGUUUUGAUGGUUUAAUAAUUGUCACACUGUUAGAUUUUUUAUUUGAUAUUACUAACCAUUGGUUUUGGCACUUUAGUAAUAUGUUUGAAAACAGGAUUGCAUGAGAGUCCUGGAUAAUUAAUAAGAAAUGAAUAAUGUGUAAAAAAAGGAGGAAAAACGAAGUCGUAGGGAUUGAUAUGAAAAAUACAUGAGUUGACCUUUUCAGGAUGUACCUGUAAUCUGCUCACAUGCACAUUGCAUCAGUUUAUCCACACUUUAAUUUUUUUUAAAUGGGUUCAUUGGUAAUUAUAAUUAAUUAACAAGUUGAUUUGAUAUAGUGUUAAUAGCAUUCAUUUAUGUUUGAUACCUGGGAGUUUUGUAUGAGUUUGGGGGGAUGGUUAGAACAAGGUUUAAUGUUCAAUGUCUCUAAACGAUCAUUUAGUUUGUUUUUCUUCUUUACGUUUAGCACAGGAAGUUAGAAGUGUUUGCUCUACCUCGUUUUGGCAUUCAGUUAAGGUUACAAGUCAACCUCUCAUGAAUUGCUUGCAAAUAAUCAAGCCAUGCUUUUUGUUUGUUGUGGAAGUGUCUGUCACCUCUGGGCCUUGUUACAGGCUUCUGUUAGGUUUAUAUAAGAACUGAAACUUGUGUAAGCAUCCCUUCUAGACAGUACCAAUAACUGAACCACUACUUGACCAAAUAAAUAACAAAUAUUAUCAUUAUAAUUUAUAAAGAUGUCAUAAAGCUUAUCACAGAUGUUAUAUACAUUACCUCUAAGCCAGUAAUGUUAUUAAGUUAACUUUUUUUUUUUUUUUUUACUAAAACUGGGAAUAUAACAUUGUAAAGUGUUUAUUGUUUACUCUGAUCUGUUUCUUGGAAAUUGAUUUAGCAGAUGAUUAUUAAUAUUGUUUGUAAGAUAUGAGUGCUUCCUGAAUAGAGGCAACAAAAUGUUGAUUUUCUUGUGGAUUGGGAAUGUGUUUACGAUGUGUGUUUUGUUUGUUUCUUUGGGUAAUUUUAUGUGGUUUUUGCUAUAGAUGUUUUAACAUUUACUAAUACUUUAAUUUGAAUAAGAGUAUAUUCCAUUAUAUGAUAAGCAAGCCUUUUAAUAAUUUCCCAAAACGGUAGAACUGUGUGAACACUAAAUUCUAGAGCCUUCAUAUGGCUCAGUCCGUGCUACCAGCUGUUAUUUAAAACAAGAGCAUUGUGAUUGCUGAGGUGUUUUGUUUAUUUGUAUCGAAGCAACUCACCAGUUUGGUGUUUAUUACAGUAAGCGGCAGCACAGUUAACAUGUAGCAUGUUAGUUUUACUUUAUGUAAAGUAAUAAUAUACCUCUAGUAAAUUGGAUAUUCAAAGGGCAUGUGACAUUGCAGCAAACAUGGAGUUUCUAAGAUGAUGAUCUGGGAUUAAGAAAACAGAUGUACAAUUCUCAUGUUUCAUUUCUUUCUUGUUUACUGGUCUGAUUGGAAAUGUGUGUGGGCUUUUUUUUUUUUUUUUUUAAAUCGCCUUAAAUCUAAUCGUGUUAACUCCAGGUUUUAAUUGGACACAUUUUUCCACACUGGCAUUAGGUCUGAAAUAAGUUUUUAUUUUUUUGUUUUAAAAUGAAUAUUUAUUGCCCUUUAGGAAAUACAAAUAUAUUGCAUAUGCUUAACGGUAUUAGAAAUAUGCCUAAUGAGGUAUGUCAAUAAUCCAUACUGGAACCUUCGCAGUUUCCAUGGAUUUAUGUGACCCAGGGGUGAAGUAACUGCAGUGGUUGUCUGUCAUCCAGUAGUGUCUUGGAGUGAAACAUGUCAUUUGGAAAUGCUAAUAUAUAUAUAUAUAAAUAUAUAUAUAUAUAUAUAGCUGUGCAGGACAAGGCAACUUCUAGAUUGUUGGUGGCUGGAUUCUUAAGUCUCGUAAGUGACCAUUCUUAGUGCAACAUUGCAUAACCUUUUCAUACACUUUCGAAAUGGAAUUUUGAUACUUUUUCUAAAUGGAAUUUAAAAAAAAGGCUUAUGUUUUAAACUAUGUAUUAACUGUUAAUUUAAGGGCUGUUUUUGAAAAAUGUUUUUACAUAGUUUUGAAACACUUUUAAAUGUGUGGGUUCCCCCCCCCCCCCCCCCAAAUUUAGGAAAAAAGUUAAGGAGAUUUUGAAACAAGUGAGAAAAGCUUAGUUUAAUAUAGACCUUGUAGUUUGAAUUGGCGGGGGUCUUGAUCAGGCUGCUUUUAGGUUUUGAGUAAGUAAGAUGUGCUGAAUGAUGAGGUCACUGAUCUGGUAGUGAGCAGAGCUUUUGCUUUCUCAGAAGGGGAGUGGAGGUUUUACUUUACAUCUGUUGAUACAAACCCCAGCAGUAGUUGUGUGGUGUUGUUAUUGUUGUUUUUUUUUUGGGGGCAAAAUAAUAGAGUAUUAAAAUAGUGACUUGCAUCAGAGGGCUAAGUGAUUUAGCACGCAUUUGUUUUCAUUUUUCGUUUUUUUUUCCCCCAUUUUUUUUUUUCUUUCUCCAGGCUGUGGUUAAAGAAAAGAACUUGUAACCGGGAGGUCACUGGUUCAAAUCCUGGCUCACUCACUGACUCACUGUGUGACCUUGAGCAAGUCACUUAACCUCAGUGUGCUCUGUCUUUCAGGCGAGAUGUUGUAAGUGACUGCCGCUGAUGCAUAGUUCCCACACCCUAGUCUCUGUACGUUGCCUUGGAUAAAGGCAUCUGCUAAAUAAUAAUAAUUUAUAAAUGAAAGUGUUCCUUCAGAAUUGUGGGUUGGGGUCAGGCACACAAGGUUUUGGGUUUUUGACCACGUCGUCCCCACAAACUUGGGUGACCAUGGUCAUGCCCUAUGCUAUUUAUUAUAAGGGGAGUUUGAAACAGGACAGUAUGAGAAGAAUUGUUUGUAAACCUCUGUCUCUGUUGGAGGCAAUCGUGCACCUUUCACAAGCAUUAAAUGUGUUCUGUUUUAUGUCAGGAUAUUUUAUUCCUGAUUAGCAGAGGGACAUUCAUCUUGUCUGUUUUGUAUCCUAAACCAGUUUUGUUGGUAGAUGUUGCAUUGCAGAGUCUUAACCCCGAUCAUCAUUGCAACUCUAUGGCAACAGGGUAGUAUUAGAGUUUUUUUAGCAUUUUGUGGUCAUUUGAUUGUAAUUAUCUAGACUUUAUUGUGUGUGUGUGUGUGUGUGUGUGU